rnacentral:rRNA from 1 species
GACGGAGGAUGCAAGUGUUAUCCGGAAUCACUGGGCGUAAAGCGUCUGUAGGUGGUUUAAUAAGUCAACUGUUAAAUCUUGAGGCUCAACCUCAAAAUCGCAGUCGAAACUAUUAGGCUAGAGUAUAGUAGGGGUAAAGGGAAUUUCCAGUGGAGCGGUGAAAUGCGUAGAGAUUGGAAAGAACACCGAUGGCGAAGGCACUUUACUGGGCUAUUACUAACACUCAGAGACGAAAGCUAGGUAGCA